rnacentral:rRNA from 1 species
GUCCACGCCCUAAACGGUGCAUACUAGGUCUCGGCUGGUUCGACCUUGCCGGGGCUCAAGCUAACGCGUUAAGUAUGCCGCCUGAGGACUACGGCCGCAAGGCUAAAACUCAAAGGAAUUGACGGGGGCCCCGCACAAGCGGUGGAGUAUGUGGCUUAAUUCGAUGCAACGCGAAGAACCUUACCUAGCCUUGACAUGCAUUAGACUGGUGUUGAAAGACACUUUUCCUUCGGGACUAUUGCACAGGUGCUGCAUGGCUGUCGU